rfam:Schistosoma mattheei strain Denwood, Zambia genome assembly, scaffold: SMTD_scaffold0021848
AUUCAGUUGACGAGUCCUGAAUAGGACGAAAAGCGUGUCCUAAAU